rnacentral:rRNA from 1 species
GACGAACGCUGGCGGCGUGCUUAAUACAUGCAAGUCGAGCGAGGCCCAUCCAGUGGCAACACUGGGGAAGGCCGAGCGGCGAACGGGUGAGUAACACGUGAGCAACCUGCCCCGAAGUCUGGAAUAACAUCGGGAAACCGGUGCUAAUACCGGAUUGCCCCACCUGACCGCAUGAUCGGGUGAGGAAAGAUUUAUCGCUUCGGGAGGGGCUCGCGGCCUAUCAGCUAGUUGGCGGGGUAACGGCCCACCAAGGCGUCGACGGGUAGCUGGUCUGAGAGGACGACCAGCCACACUGGGACUGAGACACGGCCCAGACUCCUACGGGAGGCAGCAGUAGGGAAUCUUGCGCAAUGGGCGAAAGCCUGACGCAGCAACGCCGCGUGGGGAUGACGGCC